GAAAGAAAUUAAAGACGUUUUAGAGUUUAAUGAAAAUGAAGCCACAAUAUACCCAAACUUAUGGGACACAAGGAGGGCAGUCCUAAGAGGAAAACUCAAUUCCCUGAGUGCCCCCCAAAAGAAACUAGAGAGAGCUUAUAUUAGCAGCCUGAUAGCACACCUAGAGGCUCGAGAACUGAAUUUACCCAAGAAGAGUAGACAGCAGGAAAUAAUCAAACUCAGGGCUCAAAUUGACCAAGUGGAAACAAAAAGAACUAUUCAAAGAACCACCCAACCCAGGAGCUGGUUCUUUGAGAAAAUCAACAAGAUAGCUAAACCCUUAUCCAAACUAAAUAGAGCACAAAGGGACAGUAUUCUAAUUAACAAAAUCAGAAAUGAAAAAGGAGACAUAACAACAGAACCUGAGGAUCCAAAACAUCAUCAGAUCCUACUACAAAAGGCUAUACUCAACAAAACUAGAAAACCUGGAUGAAAUGGACAACUUCCUAGACAGAUACGAGGUACCAACGUUAAAUCAGGAUCAGAUUAACAAUUUAAUCAGUCCCAUUUCCCCUAAAGAAAGAGAAGCAGUCAUCAAUAGUCUCUCAACC
rnacentral:lncRNA from 1 species